AUGGGAACGCGAAGAACCUUACCUACUCUUGACAUCCAGAGAACUUAGCAGAGAUGCUUUGGUGCCUUCGGGAACUCUGAGACAGGUGCUGCAUGGCUGUCGUCAGUUCGUGUUGUGAAAUGUUGGGUUAAGUCCCGCAACGAGCGCAACCCUUAUCCUUUGUUGCCAGCGGUCCGGCCGGGAACUCAAAGGAGACUGCCAGUGAUAAACUGGAGGAAGGUGGGGAUGACGUCAAGUCAUCAUGGCCCUUACGAGUAGGGCUACACACGUGCUACAAUGGCGCAUACAAAGAGAAGCGACCUCGCGAGAGCAAGCGGACCUCAUAAAGUGCGUCGUAGUCCGGAUUGGGGUCUGCAACUCGACUCCAUGAAGUCGGAAUCGCUAGUAAUCGUAGAUCAGCAUGUCGCGGUGAAUACGUUCCCGGGUCUUGUACACACCG
rnacentral:rRNA from 1 species